rnacentral:rRNA from 1 species
UACGAAGGGGGCAAGCGUUGUUCGGAUUUACUGGGCGUAAAGGGCGCGAAGGCGGAUCUGCAAGUCAGAGGUGAAAGCCCUGGGCACAACCCGGGAAUGGCCUUUGAGACUGCAAGUCUUGAGUGCGAGAGAGGGUGGCGGAAUACCCAGUGUAGAGGUGAAAUUCGUAGAUAUUGGGUAGAACACCGGUGGCGAAGGCGGCCUCCUGGCUCGCAACUGACGCUGAGGCGCGAAAGCGUGGGGAGCAAACAGG